UCAAAAUUACAUGUUAAUAGCACUUAUGCUCCAGGAAUCUAAGAACCAACCACUUUCAAAAUGGAAGCUAAAAUAAGUGGAAAUCCUUCUGAGGGGGAAGCAAACUCAACCUGGUGUUCUUGUCCUUCCUGGAUUCAGGGGCACCCUUUCAGAUAAGAACAUGGACCUGAUUGGCAUCAUCCUGUAUCCAUGGAAACCUU